UUGCUUCUGCAGCACAUUUACUAAAAUUGUAACAAUUUGAGAAGAUUAGCAUGGCCCAAGGAUGACAGGCAAAAUUUUUAUGUGAAAGUGAUACAG
ensembl:snRNA U6 U6 spliceosomal RNA